rnacentral:lncRNA from 1 species
CAGAGAUUUAGGAGCUCAUUUCAUUUGAUCUGGCUUGUUAAUUCCCAAUCAAGUGCUGAUUAGAGGCCACGGGGCAGAGCUGGAAACGCACUCACAGGUUCCUCAGUGAGUCCUUGGUGUGGUCCUUGAGGGGGGCAGAAGCUCCUGAGAAGGCUCAGGCUGUAACUGCACCUCGUGGCAUUGGGAAAGGGAAACUGGGAAUUACUGAACAGACAGAUUCGACCAAAAGGAGGGAUUUAAUAGGAUUCAACAUAUACAGACAAUGGAGCAGAGCAAAGGGCUCCUGUGCCCACCAGCUGCACCCCCAGAGCUGCUCCCCUGGCCUGGGGCAGGACCGUUGGAUUCCUCAGGGACUCAUCCCGUGUGUCCCAGUGAAGAGCCGGGAGCUGCAGGGAUUCAAGAGCUUCCCCAGGCUCCCCUCAGGUGACAUCCCCAGCUCUGGAGCUGUUUGUGAGGGGACAAGGAGGAGCUGCAGGGGGGACACGUCGUGGCCAGCUCCAGCUCCAGCUCCAGAGGGGGAAGCUCCGGCCGCGGCGCAGGAACAUCCAGCUCCGGAUGGGCAAGAAGGGAUUCACUCCUUCAGGAUUCACCGUCGGCUGCUGGACCUCGGUGGGACCUGGGAGCUCUCGGCGCCCCGGCCACGGAACCCCGCGGCUGUGACCUCCUCCAGGAAGCUGCCGGGAAAGGCUCAGGUCAGUGGGAAAAGGGCCAACUGCCCCCCCACCCUGGGCCUUUGGACCCCACCAGGACCUGCUCCUCAGCCCCAGAGCUGAGACACAGCCCCAGCAACACUGGGACGGGGGCAGAGAGGCGUGGAAUCAGGGAAUUGUUUAGGUUGGAAAAGCCCUCUGAGCUCAUAGAAUUCAGCUGUCAACCCAACACUGCCAAGGCCACCACUGACUCGUGUCCCCACGUGCCACAUCCACGUGGUUUUGAGCAAUUCCAGGGAUGGGGGACUCCACCACUGCUCUGGGCAGCCCUUUCAGUGAAGGAAUUUUCCCCAAUAUCCAAACUAAACCUCUCCUGGUGCAACUCGGGGCUGUUUCCUCUGGUCCUGUCACUUCUCCACACGCAGUGACAGUGGCAAAGGGGUGACCUGCCCAUGACACUGUGAUCCAACAACAGGUCACCCCUGCCUGACCCACUCCUGUGGCUGUCCUGGGACAGCUGAAGGCAGGAAACACUAAUCCAAGGGUAAAUUCCAAGCUCCCAAAGCCAGGAAUGCUCCCAGCCAGGAAGAUGCUGCUGGAGGACGGUUCCUCUGGCAAUGAGACACCACAGCCGUUCCCAGGCUGACUCAUCCCCUCAAUGUGCUGAUCAGGUGAUCUCAACAGUAAUGCUUAAAAAAAAAAAAUCCCAAAAAGGAUAAAGAAAUACAAACUAGGAUAUGCCACGAAUCCUACAGAAACGGGAUUUCCCUAAACUGGGUCUGGAGCAGCUCUUCCUGCCCAGGUUGGGAAUCCUGAGGGGUUUGAAAAAUAAUAAGACCCUAAAAUCUCAAGCAAAGCCCUGCACCAAGGCCCAGCUCUGAGCUCCAUGGGACACAGCUGGAAGGGGCACAGACAGGACACUGUCCCCUGGCUCCACCUGGCUUUGUGUUCCAGCCCCAGCUCUCUCUCCUCCAGGUUAUUUUUAGGCAUUGGAGCCAGGCAGAACUGAGCUGUGGCAGGGAAUGACUCGGUUUUUGGGGAACCUCCCGGUUCUGUGCUGUCCAGAGCAGGUUGUGCACAUGGUCAGGGUCCCCUCGGGGUCCCCUCAGGCCUCUCUGAGCAU